UGGGGAAUAUUGCACAAUGGGGGAAACCCUGAUGCAGCGACGCCGCGUGAACGAAGAAGGUAUUCGUAUCGUAAAGUUCUGUCCUAUGGGAAGAUAAUGACAGUACCAUAGAAGAAAGCUCCGGCUAAAUACGUGUCAGCAGCCGCGGUAAUACGUAUGGAGCGAGCGUUGUCCGGAAUUAUUGGGCGUAAAGGGUACGCAGGCGGUUUAAUAAGUCGAAUGUUAAAGAUCGGGGCUCAACCCCGUAAAGCAUUGGAAACUGAUAAACUUGAGUAGUGGAGAGGAAAGUGGAAUUCCUAGUGUAAUGGUGAAAUACGUAGAUAUUAGGAGGAAUACCAGUAGCGAAGGCGACUUUCUGGACACAAACUGACGCUGAGGUACGAAAGCGUGGGGAGCAAACAGG
rnacentral:rRNA from 1 species